AAUGGAACAUGCAAUUGAUAUGCGGUUUCAUUUGAUUCUUUUGUUUGCUUUUGACUAUCAAAUAAUUUUUUUCUUAAUUUUUGACGGUGUAAGCUGUAUGUAAGUGUUUCAUUUAAAGUUCAGCAGCAUUCCAGAUGUUUACGUGCAUUGAUACAAGAGUAGUGCUUCUGUCAUAUGCGGAAUCCACUCAGUGCAGGGCGGCCAUUGUGAGGUCAACCCAGAGGUACAAGAUGCCACAUGCGUCUGGUGAUCUUUGAAGUGUUCAGCUUCAAGUGUGAAAUCAUCUUAUACCUACUGCAGGAUGCUGAGACUAAACAACCAGCCCCUUGAUGGGAACAACAGUAGCUGUUGCAAUGUUAUCUUCCAUACACAUCCAAAUAUAAAACAGGUGACAGAGCAAAACUAUUGGCAAUGGCAGGACAUCCAGCUUACUCGGGUUGUUCUGUUAGGUCUUCAGUAUUACAGCUGUCAAGCCUCUUGGAAACCCAGACUUCGGGGAUUGUGCCUCUGGUACAGUGGGGGCUUGUUCAGCUAAGUUAGAUGAGUUUGCUGGAUGUCAAGGUCACAAAUAAUUUUUCGUUCCUUUUGCUCUUAUUCCUGAUUGUACUUUGCCUCAGCCUGGCCUGGUGGGGUAAUGACGCCGGAGCCUACUUACUGCUGUACAGGUGGAGCAAUGGCUGCGGGGACAUGCAUGUUGUAGACGUCAUACUGCUGUACCGGUAGGGUAAUGACGCCGGAGCCUCCAUACUGCUGUACCGGUGGGGUAAUGACUACCAUACUACGUCCGUGCGGCUUUGCCGUUUAACUCUGCCCAGUUUGCACUAGGCUGCCACUAAACGCGACAACCCCCCGGAAAACCUGUAGAAGUGAGUGUUCCUGAGAAUGAAAUAGAGAAGGAAUGAAUACUUUUCAUUGUUUUGAAGAUAGCAUAAGGGUCAAACUUAGACGUUCGGAAUUCGUUUCAUUGGUAUUAUCAAGGGCAUCUGAGUGUAGGCAUACAGACAAUGUAACUUUGUAUCUGAUGCCAAAAGUAAAUGUUUAAUUGUACUGCAGUGUUGCGAUGUUCCCUUGCUGGGCUGCACUGUCCAGCCCUUGCAAAAUGGCCUGCAGGUUCAUGGCGGUGAUGGCAUUUUUGUGCGCGGACGCCCUGCACUCCAACGCAUUUCUUCCAAUGGGAGGGCGUCUGGCGGAGAGCUGGUGUGUGUUGAUAACUACCACGCGACGCUGGAAAUGGUAUGACCGGUGACGCGGUUCAGUCCUGGGCGUAGCCGGUGCACUUGCAGGUUGGGCUGGUAUCCUGUUGUUGAUAUUGUUGGCUAGACAUUUCAAAGACAUCCCCCUCACCAGCAUCAGUCAUCCUGUGUGUUUGCAAAAAGUUUUAAUUAAAUCAAUGUCACAAGGGCCUUGAAAAGCAACAUUUAACUUUUCUCCAGGCAGUAUUAUUAUCUUUGUCACCUAAGUACAAAUCUUUGUCCCCAAAGUACAAAAUAAAUGUAGUCAGUGCAAUGUC